rnacentral:rRNA from 1 species
GUCCUGGCCCUAAACGGUGCACGUUUGCUGUAAGAGGAAUCGACCCCUUUUGUGGCGAAGCUAACGCGUUAAACGUGCCGCCUGGGAAGUACGGCCGCAAGGUUAAAACUCAAAGAAAUUGACGGGGGCCUGCACAAGCGGUGGAGUAUGUGGCUUAAUUCGAUGCAACGCGAAGAACCUUACCUGGCCUUGACAUGUACGUAGUAGAAGGAUGAAAGUCUGACGAGGUAGCAAUACCAGCGUACACAGGUGCUGCAUGGCUGUCGU